ACGAACGCUGGCGGCGUGCCUAAUACAUGCAAGUCGAGCGGACCGACGGGAGCUUGCUCCCUUAGGUCAGCGGCGGACGGGUGAGUAACACGUGGGUAACCUGCCUGUAAGACCUGGGAUAACUCCGGGAAACCGGGGCUAAUACCGGAUGCUUGAUUGAACCGCAUGGUUCAAUCAUAAAAGGUGGCUUUNAGCUACCACUUACAGAUGGACCCGCGGCGCAUUAGCUAGUUGGUGAGGUAACGGCUCACCAAGGCGACGAUGCGUAGCCGACCUGAGAGGGUGAUCGGCCACACUGGGACUGAUGACACUGGCCCCAGACUCCUACGGGAGGCAGCAGUAGGGAAUCUUCCGCAAUGGACGAAAGUCUGACGGAGCAACGCCGCGUGAGUGAUGAAGGUUUUCGGAUCGUAAAACUCUGUUGUUAGGGAAGAACAAGUACCGUUCGAAUAGGGCGGUACCUUGACGGUACCUAACCAGAAAGCCACGGCUAACUACGUGCCAGCAGCCGCGGUAAUACGUAGGMGGCAAACGUUGRCCGGAAUUAUUGGGCGUAAAGCGCCCCCAGGCGGGUUCCUUAAGUCUGAUGGUGAAAGCCCCCGGCUCAACCGGGGGAGGG
rnacentral:rRNA from 1 species